rnacentral:rRNA from 1 species
UACGGGGGGGGCUAGCGUUGUUCGGAAUUACUGGGCGUAAAGGCUCGUAGGCGGCCAACUAAGUCAGACGUGAAAUCCCUCGGCUCAACUGAGGAACUGCACGGGAAACUGCCUGGCUUGAGUUCGGGAGAGGGAAGCGGAAUUCCGGGUGGUAGCGGUGAAAUGACGUAGAUAUCCGGAGGAACACCGGUGGCGAAGGCGGCUCCUGGACCGACACUGACGCUGAGGCGCGAAAGCGUGGGGAGCGAA